ACGAAUAGUUGGAAGUUUGUAGCUUCUUUCUUAUACGCUCCUCCAAAUUCCCAAUCUUUAUACACUUCCAUUGUUAUGAUUCAAGCUACAAUCAAGUGAUAUCUUUAGUUCUAUCUAUAAUCAAAGCGAGAUCUUUAAUUCUUGCCCUCCAAUGUUAAAAGAGUUUUAAUGCAUAUCCUCAUACGGUUUUAAGGCGAUGACACAGGCAUGGAAUCGCUCUCAUCUUCAAUCAUUUGAACCAAUAAAAUCUCCAAGGUUAGUUCUUCAUCUCAUCACUCUACCUUGUUUGUCACUGAAACCAAUCAUCAAGGGAGUUGUGAAUCCCUCGGUUAGAUCUACUACUAGUGAGUGCAGAGUUUGGUGUAAAUGUAACUCUUCAUGCUAAGCAAGUUCUACUGUUGCGUUGAAGCUCAACUCUAGCCUUCAAAAUGUGCAGAUCCACUAUCCACAUAUGCUAUGACCAAAAUUAAGGGUCUAAGUUUCAGCUCUAUCUUGUUGAAGUUUUAUCUCCCUACAAAGUCUCAAUGGAUUGAACCCCAUUCAGGAUUAAUACCAUUAUUUAAGGCAUUCUUUGGACGAUUCUACCACAAUGAAAUUAGAGAAAAUCGAUGUUGCAUCCUUUUCUAGGUUUCUACAGUUUCACCUUGUUGAUGGCGAUUUUUAGCUGAAACUAGAAUUUUUAUUUGGUCCUAAAUGGACACCCUAAUCUCUCACCAUGUUUAAGUACAAAAAUCUGUGGAUGCACAUACCUCUGUUUGCUCUGUUAAUUAUGUAGAUGCCUCCUUAUGUAUGGUGUACCAUAUUUGGCUAGAUUAAAUAUCUUCUUCUAUGUGCUAUGAAUUUUUUGAAAUUGGUUAAUCUAAAUUCACCUACAAAGGAUAAAACUAAAUUAAUAAGAAAAUAUACAAGCGUAUUUCCUUUUUUAAGGGAAUGUUUACUCUUGUUAAACAUCUCUUCUCAAUCUCCUAUUGAUACUAAUCUCGUAUGCCACACUCCAUGACCCAUUCCAUUCUCCCUCCGACAUAUGCACCACAACUAAAGGGUAAGUCUGAAUAAUGACAAUUGCAAUUUCAUGCUCAAUAGAUUAAUUAAGAGUCUCCCUUGUAGCUCUAGGUUCCGCUACUAUGUUGGUUGUAUCAUAAUUCUGAAACCUUUAGGUACUACCAGAUUACCACUAUGAUUUAUGAUACAAAAUUCUGCUGAAUCCAUUGUUGCAUUACCGUAAAUUAGGAGGAUGAGGCUUCCAUCUUACAAUUUUAAAAGAGAAUUGAGGUUUGUAGUAUUCCAAUUCUGAGAGAAUACAAGGCCAAGAGUUGCUGCUUCAUUUCCCUUUUAAUCUCACGAGAAUAAAUCUUAAAAUUGUAUCAUUAAUACCCCAUAGCACUCUAAAUUCUUAAAAGGAACCUCCACCAAUAAUAGGAUUCAUUCGGUUCCACGGAAACUAUAAAAUAAUGUAAGGAUAGCUUGAAAAACUACCUUCACUCUAUAAAUGCCUUAUACUGCCUGCCACAACCUUAUGGACUGCUGCAAGUUUAGAAUAGGCCCCACAAUUCCCACCAUCUGUGAUUUAAUACUAACCCUACCCCAUUCAGCAGCAUGUGUUCUAGAAAUGGGAACCUCCUUUCCAUUGAACAAGGGCAUGUAUUUGCUUUCUAAAAUACUUCAUCCGUAUAAAUUUAAAUCAUAAUGUAGUUUCAAUUGUGGAAUAGCUGUUAAGUAUUUUUUUAGUAUUAGCUUGAAUAAGGAAAUAUUUUUAAGCACUUAUCAUAACUUGUGAUUUUUUUGGCUUAUAAGAAAAGAGAUAUAAUCUUAUACAAAUAGGCUCUUAGUAUUACCUCAUUCACUACACUAAUCUAGCAAGAGAAAAAAACUUUAAUAUCAAUAUGCUAUACAUAAUUCAGAAGUAUAAUGUGUUUAAUUUUAAGAACUUUAAAAUUUAACUAAUUAAAUUUAAAUUAUAAAUAUAAUUUGGGAAACAUUAAUAGAUUAAUUAUUGCUAGAAACACCCAAAAUGAGAGUUUCAAGUCCCAUAUAAGAUAAAGUAGGAAAUAUAAGUUAAAAAGUUAAAUUUAGAGAAAAGAAAAGAACAAAAUGGUCUGAGCAAAAUCUAUGAAGGCUUACAUAAAUAGGAAAUAAGAAGUAGUAUCAGUUUAUUUUGAGCUUACACAGGGGAUUUAGUUUCUCAAGCCUUCAUAUUUUUGGAUGAAGGUUAGAAAUUCAAUUAGUAGUAAAUCAGUAAUAGUAAUAUUUCCCAAUGUAAGAAAUUGUUGAUGCAAUUUUAGUUAGUUGCAACAUAAAUUUCUUAGUUACUACAUUCUGAUUUCUGUAUGAUUUAUUAAAAUAUAUAUUCUUUUAUUUGAUGUUUCAAGUUCUUAUUUGCCUGCCUUAUUUAUACUAGUUUCUCUUUUAAUGUAGCAACUUAUAAUGAUCCUAUUUUGUUUGGUUGAAAUUAUAUAUUUUGUUAUUAACAUCUAUGAUAGUAUAUUUUUCUAAUUUAAUACUGCUUUGAGUGUGAUUUAGUCACGAGAGUCUUGUAUUGGACUUUGUAAUCAAAAGCAUCAAUGGGAUAAGAAUAGUUGCAUGUAAGUAAGAAUCUAUAAAGCCUAAUACUUGCAACUUCAACUUCAUCAUUAAAAAAAAAGUAAAAAAAUUAAUUCAUCAUUAAUUUUAUACAGUGUUUUUUGUUGUCCCUUAUUUACUAUUUCUUUUAUUUCAUAUGAGAAAAAAUCAAUUCUGAAUUGGUGAUUUUCCUUUGCCAUUGAAAAUAGUAAGCAAUUAUGAUGUUUUCUUUUAAUAUGUAAAAUAUUUUUUUUAUAACGUUCAAGUUAAAUUUCUUAAAAUUUCAAAAAAUUGAAAAAUAACAAAAAAUAUUUCUAAUUUUCUUUCCAUUUCAUUUAACUCAUAAAAAGUUUAAAACAACUUCAGUUAAUAUCUUUUAUCGAAUACAAUUGCAUGCAAGGCAAUUGUAUUAAAAAUUUGCUCACUUUUUUCAAUAGAAGAGGAAAAUCACCAAUUAAAAAUUGGUUUUUAGGUCGGAUGAAAUAAGAGAAACAACAUAUAAGGGACAACAAAUAAUAAUAUAUCAAAUUGGUGAUGAAGUUGAAGUUACAAGUCAAGUAUUAGGCUUCAUAGGUUGUUACUUGCAUGCAACUAUUUCAUAUCCUAUUGGCGCUUUUCAUUACAAAGUACAAUUCAAGACUCUGGUGAUUGAUGAUGAAACAUAUUCAAUACAAGACUUUCAAAGGACAAUUUGAAUCGGAAAGUAUUUUGUCAUCAUAUACUUAGAGUUCAAAUAUUUGGCGAUACAAAUAAGAAUGAAAUUUGUAAAAAAAAAUUAUGUUGUGAAAAACUCUUUAACACAAGAAUUUGUGGAUGGUUGAAAUUGUGUAAAUAUAAAAGAAUGGUCAUUCUAAUUUACCUCUAUUGAGACUAGAAGGGAAAAAAAAGAGAGAAUUGUAGUUCUCUUAACGACUUAGUAUAAAAAGUCAAAACCUAAAAUAAAUUGUCCCCUAAAUUUAAUUAUUCAUAUUGUUUUUCUUUAACCUGUAUAAACUUUGCAAGAGGAAUAAUCAUAUUGAUUCAACAGAACAAAACUCCUCAAACCGCUGAUAUGAAGAGUUAUGCGGUAAGAAGACCUGAAAUGGUUGUUUAAUAUGAUGUGCUUAGAUAAGUAUGCUCUUAAUUCAUCAUACUAACGCUUUACCAUUUGAAAAUUUCAUAAGUCAAAAGGAAAAAAUGUCGAUCGAGGCAAAGAAGUGCAUUGAGACUGAUAAAUGGAUCAAUUGUACAAUGACAUUUAAUAGUACCAAGAACAUUAAGGUCUCAGAUAAACAAAGAGAAAGUUUUAGUUAAUUGUUUUAUCCAAGGAUUUGAGUUAGAAAUUGACAAAUUGGUCAAAAGACUGUUAAAGUCAUUAGAGCAUCAAUGCCGCAAACUAACUAACACUUUUGAACUAACAAUUUUCUAAUUCUUUCGCUCAACAAUGUGAUAAAGGAAAUGUUGUAUUACAAGUUAGAAAUAUGAAAAAUCAUAUCAAAAGUUCUCAAAAGUCUUCUGAUUUUUUUUGUGUUUCAUCACAGGCUAUUUGUAUUUUUUUCUUAUAAAUGUGAAAACUUCUAGUAAUGCGUCCGAUCGUUCCAUCAAUAGGAAAACAUCUCCUAAUUUUAAAAAUCAAGUGCAUUCCAUACCAAUAUUUCAUUCAAGUGCAAUACACAACAAUCUUUCAUUUAUGUGCAAUACACAACAAUCUUUCAUUCAUGUGCAGUACACACAAUCCUUUAUUCCUUACACCCAUAUGCUUAUCUUGGGAAAUAAGCACAAGUAUUUCAUACAUGUGCAAUAUGCACCAUAUUAAUGCUUUAGGUAAUACACCCCUAUCUUAUAUGAAUCAACAAGGACAAUACUUCCCAUUUGAAACUCUCAGGGCAAUAUGCCUUAUUGUCACUUUUCUUCCUAGGGUCAUCGUCCUUGUUUGUGAUUCUCAUAUCUUUUCUUUUCCUAAAAAAGCACGACAUGUUCAAAGUUUUCAUUUUUUAACAUUAUGUUUUUGUCUUCUAUCUCCACCUCAAUUCAAAUACAUGCACUUGAGAAGGAUCCUUAAUAUUCCAAGAGAUCAUGAAGAUCAAACUUAAGAAUGAAGCACAAAGAAAGUCAAAGAUCAACACACAACCCUAAGAAGACACAUCAAGUAGGGAUCUUGUUACUCCUUAAAUGUAGUGAACCAUAGUUCUCUAGGUCUUUUUAUAUUAUAAUUAUAGAUGAAAGAUGGUGACAAACAAUAACAAGCAAAUUUUUUACCACUAUUUUUGAGAGUUUCGGAGCUAUCAAAUUUUCACGAACUACACUGGUCUAAUUUCCUUCUAGCCAAGGAUAUAUGUAGGAAACCUGAAAAGCAAGGUUCAAUCAUAUAUUUUAAAACUGAUCUCAAUGGAGUUUCAAAUAAUAAUAAAAAAUUAGUCAUUUCAUUCACUUCCUUUGGUUCAAAAUCUCUCCAUUACUCCAAGUAAAGAGGGGCAUGUUUGAUUUUUAUCAAUGGCUUCUGCAGACCUUGGGAAUCACGCCGUAUAAAGGUCCCAUGUACUGUGAAGUAAAUUUUGGGUUUCUGAAAUCGGUUCUAUGGAUGUCCAAUAUAGACCAUAGGAAGUUCUACGGACCGUAGGUCCAAAUAGUAGGAACCCUUCGACAAUUAUUUUUAAGGGUAUUUCGGUCUUUUCCUAUACAAUAAAUGACUAUAAUUUUGUCGUUUGACCCCUAUUUGUAAGUCCUAUAACUAUCCUUCUACCCCUAAAACUAUCCAAAAACUCUCAUUGACUCAAAUUCCCAAUUCACAUCCACGUUCAUCUUCCUCAACUCUCUCUCUCUCAAGUUCAAGAAAGAAGAAGCUGGUAUUUUCAAAUCAAGUGUUCCUUUUCACCAUUGCUUUUGGGCUUUUAUCCUCAAGGAAUGUUGAUUUCAUCAAUGGGCUCAAUUCACCCAUUGAGUCCUAAGGGUUUCUCAAUUUUCCAAGUUCAUUUUCAUCAAUUUGAUUAGGUUUUCAUUCAAUACCUCAUGAUUUCUAAUGGUGUUGAUUAAAUUGUUUGAUUUUGAUCCUUGUAUGAUGGUUUUGGUCAAUUACAUGGUUUUCAAUUUAUAUCACAUAAACCCAUAUAUUGAUCAUGAUUUUUACUAUGAACUUUCAAAUACAUGAAUUUAUGAAGAAAUUAUGAAUCUAUAAAUGAUGUUUUUAUGAAGGUUAUGCAUCAUUAUGAAAACAAAGGUUUUAUGAUUUAGGUUGUUUUAAUAUAAGCAUCAAUGAAAUUGCGAAAUGAAUUUUUCACAUACAAAGGAAUCAUGAUUUGUGAAAUCUCACACAUGGUUGAUUCAAGAUUUAGUGAGUUAAUCUAUGAUAUUUUAAACAUACCUGAGUAGUUUUCUCCUAAGGAGGAAUAAAGGAAUAAAGUAGAAAGGGAAUAUUUUAAUACGCAAGAACAAGGAGAAAAGAAGAGGAAAGAAGGAAUAGAAAGCGAAUUGUCGUGUCGCUUUUUGUAUCACACACACACGCGUGCAUGCACAGGCACACGCACACACACAAUUGUCUCUUUUAUUACUCAUUAUAUGUUUUUCUCUUAUACUUGUAAUAGUAAUAAAAUUAAAAUGGGACAGACAUAUCCCUAAACUAGUAUAACUAAAGAUUGAACCUAAGCAAAAUAAUAUACAAGGCAGUACCAUUAGGGAUUCAUCAAAAACAAUUUCCACACAAGAAUUAAGAAUGUCUAGCCAUCUCUUAAAGAUGAUAGGGAAGUAUUGAGAAUGUGUGGCAAGCUUCCCCAUAACUCCCGAAAUUAUGGAAACUGCUUUUCCAAAAGGUACUCAUAUAGAAAUUAUCAAUAAUAUAUUAACCCUAAGUUAGUAGUAUAAAUAGCGGGAAACAAUUUGUAAAUAAUUAACAAACAAUCAUGCAAUUUUCACAAAAACCUCAUAUUCUACUCCUACUCUUUCCUUCGUCUAAGACCCGUUUAAGAUUUUUCUUUUUAUGAACAUUCAAUGUACCUCAUACUUGCUAACCAUGUACGAAUGAGGAUUGAGGUGUGUGAAUAUGAUUGACGCCUGAGAAAAAAUUUGGUUGAUUGUGCUGAUGUUUGUAGGAGUUGGAUCAAAACACUGAAAGAAAUUGUCAAAGCACAAAAUUUACGAAAAAUUAACGUUCCCAACUCCUUGAAGAAGAUUUGACUCUUGAUUUUUAUGCCUUUGUAUUGUUGUUGUUUUACUUGUGUUAGUUUGACUGACGGUAGUUAUUUGCAUUGGGGAUGAACCAUAUAGUUGAGGUUUAUAUCUUCCAGUAUUAUUUGUCCAUAACUACCUUCAGUCAAACUAACACAUAGCAAAACAACAAUAAUGCAAAGAAGUAAUAAUUGAGAGUAGAAACUACUUCAAAGAGAUGGGAAGAUCAAUUUUCUACAUAUUUCAGGAGCUUUGACAAUUUCUUUCAUUAUUUCUCUCCAACUCAUACAAACACUAGAACAAGCAACCACAUUUUUUCUGAUGCGAAUCAAAGUAAGACGUCUCAAUCCUCAUUAGUACAUAUUCAACAACUAUGGAGUACAUUAGAUUUUGAUAAAAACAGAAAGAUGAAAUGGGUCCUAAAGAAAGGUGGGAGUAGGAAUAGAAUAUGAGGCUUUUGUGAAGAUUUAUUGAUUCUUUCUUAAUUAUUUUACUAAUGGUUGCCCCUCUAUUUUUAUACUACUAACUUGGGGUUAAUAUACCAUUAAUAAUUGUUAUGUGUGUAUCUAAUAGUAGUGUUGUCAUAAGUGCGGGAAUUGUGGGGAAGCUUGUCACAAAUCCUCUACACUUCCCUAUCAUCUUUAAGAGAUAGUUAGAUACACAAUUCUUGUGUGGACAAUGUUUUUGAUGAGUACAGCCUUUUAUAUUAUUUUUCUUAGCUUCAAUAUUUAAGUUAUACUAGUUUCUGGAUAUUUGUGUUCCACCUUGUGUCCCAUGUAAAUUUUCUUAGGAUUACAAGUCUAAGGAAAAAGCAUAUAAUCAGUGAUAAAAACAACAAUCAUAUCAUUUAUAUUUAUAUAUAAAAGAGGGUCCUAGACCUAGUGACGUGAUGCAACCAGAAUACGAGAAUUAGAUUUAUCUUUUCAUAUAUGUUUUAUCAAUUCCUUCACAAUAUUUUUUUUACAAUUCCUCCAAGGAGGUUCAAUACAAAAAGUGACACCACAGUUGUCUUUCUAUUCCUUCUUCUUUCUUUCUGCUCUCCCUAUUCUUGCGUAUUGAAAUAUACCCUCACUGUUUCCUUCCUUCAUUCCUCCUCUGGAGCAAAAGACUCAAGUAUGCUUAAAAUAUCACAGAGUAGUUCAUCAAAUCUUGAAUCAGACAAACACCUUUCACUAAUCAUGAUUCCUGAAUAUGUGACAAAAUCAUUAUACAAUUUCUUAUAUGCUUAUGUUAAAUUAAUAUAGACCCUUUCUUUUCAUGAUCAUGCACAAUCUUCAUGAAAACAUCAUUUAUAGGUUUAUAGUUUCUUAUAAAUAUGUAUUUGAAAGUUCAUAGUAAAAAAUGAUGAUAAAUGUAUCGCUUCAUGUGAUUUGAAUUGGAACGCAUGUAAUUGAAUCAAAAUCAUCAUAAUAAGAUCAAAAUCAAACAAUUGAAUCAACACAAUUAGAACCCAUGGGGAAUCGAAUGAAAACCUAAUCAAUUGAUGAAAAUGAACUUGGUGAAUAGAGAAACCUUUGGGCUCAAUGAGUGAAUGAAACUCAAUGAUGAAGCCCUACAUACUUUGAUAAUCAAAUUCCUAAAGAAAUUGUGAAAAAGAAGACUUGAUUUGGAAACCCUUGCUUCUUUUCCUUCAACUUGAGAGAGAGUUGAGGAAGUUGAAUGCGGAUGUAAAUUGAGAAUUCAAAGAAAUAAGAGAGUUGGCGUAGUUUUAGGUGUAGAAGGGAUGUUAUAUGAAUUAGCAAUUGGAAUAAAACAACAUAGUAUAGGAAUUUAAUGCAUCUGAAGAGAUCAAAUACCCUUAAAAUAAUUGUCAGAGAGUUCCUAUUGUUUGGACCUACGAUUCAUAUAAUUUCCUAUUGUAUGUAUUGUUCAACCUUAAAACCAACUUCACUAAGUCUGAAACCUUCCUGCAGAACCCACCUACGGCUCGUCAACCUUCGUAAGAUUCGUCCAAUUCAUUCGCAGGUCAAACCUCAGAAGCUUGAAAUUCCAAAACUCACCCCAAGUCUACAACUUUCCUCCUACGUCCCGUAGAUAUUCCUACGGUUCGUAGCUUGGAUCCUGCUUCAGUGCUAAAAAUCUAAAAUUUCUUUCUCCCUUCGACUUCCAACUUCUGAAGUAUUACUGUCAUAGUGUGGAAUGUACGAUGAACAUUAUAGAAGAGAUUUAUUAUUUGUGCAAAUAAUAUUUAUUUAAAUAUUCUUAUAUUAUAUUUAUUUAUGUUAUAUAUUACUAAAAGUGGAAACAAAAAAUUUAAGUUAAAAUAUCAAAAUAACCCUAUAAAGUUGAGUAACUACAUUAAUACCAUUAAAACAAUAAGUAAUUUUUUUCUAAGAAAAUCCAAAAUCUAAAUUAUUCAUUUAUGACAAUGUAAAAAACUAUUUCAUGAUAAAUAUUAGUAACAAUUAUUAAAUAAAUUAACAAUGCCGUUACAUCUUUUCUACUUCUUUGCGUUUUCGUAUUAGUUUUUGCUGUCACUUUUUACUCUCUUUUUUGGCAUAAUUUCUCGUUUACUUAUUGAUUUUAGAUUUCUUUUUUUCUUGCUGGUUUAACACUUAUAUAUUUGUGUUAAUUUCUCUGCUCUUUAUUCAUUUUUUUAUUUAUUAAUUUUCUCCUUUAUUUGCAUUAAGUAUUCAUUUUCAUAGCUCGUAUACAAUUAUUUAUUUAAUUACUAUUCUUACUAUUUAUAACUCUCAUGUUUUUCAUAUCCAUAACCUUUAACUAUUUAUUUAAAGCUUUAACAGAUCUUUUGAUAUUCUCCAUUUUUAUAUAUCUAAUUGAUCUUUUUUUUUUUUGGUUUCAUGAGACCCUUAUCAUGGUCACCCUUUCCAUUCAAUAGCUAUAAUGGUGAAGCGCUUUUCAGUGUUGUAUAAUUUGAUUCAUGCUUUACUUUGAAUUGAUGAAGAAGACUUCGAUUUUUAUUGGUUGUAUGAGCACUGUCAACAACAACUCAAAAAGUUAUAUGUACAAAUUCUUUAUAUUUCUUUUUUUUUCAUCUGUAUUGUUAUUAUUAAAUUCCAUAAAAUGAUAUGUAUGUUGCUUUUUUUGUUUACUUGUUAUGUGUUUCUCUACUAAACUUAAUCAACUAGCAAAUACAAGUGUAGUAAGAACUGGUGGAAAGCGGAUCAUUUCCUGAGCAGGCACAAUAACAUCCAGUAUGUUGGUCCUGAUAUAAUAACUUAGAUAUCAAAGUUUUAUAUAUACAUAUGUCUCUGACCAAACACAAGAUUUACACAAGUAGACUUCUCCUGAAUCACCAUGAGGUGUCUCGGAGAAUAUCCACACGUGUGGUUUGGUUCAUUCGUAAGGCCAAAUUGUGUUUAAGGAAACAUUCAUGUUAAUGGCAUCGUUAUUUUGUCUCAGCCAUGGUGUUGUGUUUAUUUUAGUGGCUUGUUAUACUAUAAAUUAAAAGUGUCGAACUUUUGAAAGUACUCAUAUGUUUUUGUUAGAAUGUUCUAUAUCUAUUCACAUCAAAAACAACCUCUAUACCUCAGACAAGAUGGGGUGUUUUGUGUACGCCUCACUUUUUCAUAAGCGCACUCAUGAGAUCACAUUGGUCAUGGUGUUAUUUGUUCUAGAUCUAAUCAUACUUUUUGAGAUAAUAUUUCUUACCUGCAUUUCUUUUAAAAUUUAUUCACUUAACUUAAGGAAAUGUGUCUAAUUUAUAUGGUGAAAUUUGUUUGUUUAAAUGUCAAUUGUUACUUUUAAAGAAAAUUCGUUAAUAUUAUUUCACUCUGACAUACCCUAUUGUUCUGUAAUUUGGUAAAUUACAACAACUUAGAAAAUGCACAAGGUUGAACAUACCAUAUUUACUUGUAAAUAUGUUACUCUUUCUGCUAUGGAAACUGGACAACCAGCACUUUCCAUUAUCUCAAGUAAAAUAGGAAUUGAGACUUCGCAUUCUCCAUAAAUCAUUUGGAAUAAUAUGCUUGCGUAUCAUCUUGGUUGUUAAAAGAUUAGCUCUCUAGAUUUUAAAAUUAAAUUCAGCAUACAUUCGUCAAAUGUUUAUGUCCUUGACCAUUGCAGGUGCAUUAAACUACUACGCUUCGUCAACACACUGCUAGCCUUGCAAUCACAAUAUGUGUAUUAGUGACGCUAGGCUGUUGUAAUCUGCCUUGACUUUGUCAAUUGCUAGCCCUUACACUAAGAAUAUAUGAAGUCUUUGUUGGGUUUUAUUUGCCCUGAUUUCUUACCAUAAAUAGGUUUUCCUUUUAGAAAAAUAUUUUGGAUUGACUAAUCCUUUUAUCUAGUAGGAAAAAGUUUAGGACUCUAUAAAUAGAAGAGUGUUCCUUCUAACUUAAUCAGCAUUUACAAUGUAGUCUUAAAGGGCUUUGAGAGUUUUGGUUAGGGGGUGAAUUUUUGGGUCACAAGCUUGAUACGUUAUCACUUCUGUGAACCUCUCAUGUAUUCCGAGUGAAUUGGUUAAGGUUGUUUCUCUCUGUAUUUUGUACUCUCAUAUUUAUGGUGGAUUGCUUAUCUCCUUUAUGGACGUAGGUCGAUUGACCGAACCACGUUAAAUCUUUGUGACUUUUGGUAUAUUUCUCGUUGUCUUCUUACUCGAGGUCUUUUGAGGUUUGUUUUGCAG
rnacentral:lncRNA from 1 species